rnacentral:rRNA from 1 species
UGGGGGAAUAUUGCGGCAAUGGGGGGAAACCCUGACGCAGCAACGCCGCGUGAUCGAAGAAGGUCUUCGGAUUGUAAAGAUCUUUUAUCAGGGACGAAGAAAGUGACGGUACCUGAUGAAUAAGCUCCGGCUAACUACGUGCCAGCAGCCGCGGUAAUACGUAGGGAGCGAGCGUUAUCCGGAUUUACUGGGUGUAAAGGGCGAGUAGGCGGGCUGGUAAGUUGGAAGUGAAAUGUCGGGGCUUAACCCCGUGACUGCUUUGGAAACUGUGUAGCUUGAGUGCCGGAGGGGCAAGCGGAAUUCCUAGUGUAGCGGUGAAAUGCGUAGAUAUUAGGAGGAACACCAGUGGCGAAGGCGGCUUACUGGACGGUAACUGACGUUGAGGCUCGAAAGCGUGGGGAGCAAACAGGAUUAGAUACCCUGGUAGU